CACACUAAACAGAUCGACACCAGAUUACCUCUCUUCUCCAAAUUUCCGGUCGACACCAGAUUGGUAUGAUAUAAUAUAUAUAUAUAGGGUAGACCGCCGAUACAGAGAGAUCAACCCUUUUCUCCCGCUGUUCUUUCUUCUGCUUCUCCGUACCCAUGUACGGCAACAACCACCACAGCAUCCUAUCAAUCCUGAUUUCUUCAACCAAAACCCUCACCUCCCAACUCAUCCUUUUUCUUCUUCAUCAUCAGAUCCUCAAACCAUGUAUUUUAACCGCCAAAAUCCUUACAUCCGAAACCCUAAUUUCCCAAUCCAACAACAUCCCAAUACUAACCCUACUACAUCUCUGUACAUAAUUGAAAGCGCUGUGAAGAAUUCUCAUGAUAAUCUUCUUGCAAUUGGUGAUACUGUUACGGCAUGGGGAGUCUCUCAAGCUGCACUUAUAUAUCUUCAAGUAGAUUCAUGGGCUUCACUAGGGUUUCAAAUACAUCAAAUUCCAUCGUUGAAGCUUCUUAUGAAAACUGAAGCAAGGGUUAAUUCGUUUAUCCAUUGUUUCGUUCUGGCGCGGAAAUUUACGUCAGUGUAUGAUUUGGAGAUUGCAAUUUGUAAAAGUGAGGGUAUUGAAAAGUUUGAAGGACUGAAAUUGGGACCUAUUUUGAAUCAUCCAGUUGUCCUUAAAUAUUUUUAUGUUCCUUCGGAUGUCAAACAAGUUCAUAAGAUAACAAGUGAAACGAUUUUUACUAACUUUGUUGAGUUCGUAGAGUAUUGUGAAGGGAAACGGAAACGUGUCAAGAAGAAAAAGUUCUUGAUGUUUCUAGCAAGGAAAGAAGAUGUUGCACGCUUGGUGUUAGGAUUCCGCAAGUGAAGAAUUGGUUUGUACUCUAACAAAUGGAUAUACACCAAGUUCUCUCUGGUACUCCCUUCCACACCGUCCUGGCCAGUUUUAUUUUUUUAGCAUGGCAUGGAGUGUUUCUACUGGAUUAGUUUGUAAAAGAGUUUAUGCAACUUAUAUCCAAAAUGCAAGCAAAGCAGAAGGGGAGAGACUAAAGAGUUCUGCUCAAGCACUGAGACAGAAGUCCAUCAAUCAUAACAAAAAAGUGGAAGAUGAAGUUUCGAAACAACCUGCUAUUACUUUAAAGAAAAAGGUUUUAGACAAAAGCAACACUAAGAUUGUGGUUGGGUUAUCUUUUAGGCAAAUGUUAACUUGUACACCGGAGCAUAUGUUAAGGAGAUUCUACCUAGCUACUUCCGGUAAUACCCUUCUAAAUCAAAUCUUUUUUUACUCUGCAACCAGACCAUUGAGUUUUCUCUUUCUCUGUCUAAUAAGAGUUAUAAGACCGCUGAUGAAAAUCAAAACCAGUACACCAACUCCAAACUCUUUCUCUUGGAUCUGAAAAAACCAAAAAUCUCUAUAUCAGUGAAGUUUCUCUUCAAAAAUCCGAUCCUAUGAUUUUCAUUGGGUCGAAUUUGUAUUCAUCAAUUAAUUAAUGGAUUCAUCAGAAGAUUCAACAAUGGCUA